UUACUGACGCUGAAGCUCGAAGGUGCGGGUAUCGAACAGGAUUAGAUACCCUGGUAGUCCGCACAGUAAACGAUGGAUGCUCGUUGUUCGCCCAUUUGAGGGUGAGUGACUUAGGGAAACCGUUAAGCAUCCCACCUGGGGAGUACGCCGGCAACGGUGAAACUCAAAGGAAUUGACGGGGGCCCGCACAAGCGGAGGAACAUGUGGUUUAAUUCGAUGAUACGCGAGGAACCUUACCCGGGCUUGAACUGUAGGAGAACGAUACAGAGAUGUUGAGGUCCUUCGGGACUCCUAUGGAGGUGCUGCAUGGUUGUCGUCAGCUCGUGCCGUGAGGUGUCGGCUUAAGUGCCAUAACGAGCGCAACCCUUUUCGUCAGUUGCCAUCAGGUCAUGCUGGGCACUCUGGUGAUACUGCCGCCGCAAGGUGUGAGGAAGGUGGGGAUGACGUCAAAUCAGCACGGCCCUUACGUCCGGGGCUACACACGUGUUACAAUGGGGCAUACAGAAGGCCGGUUCGUGGCAACACGGAUCCAAUCUUUAAAGUGCCUCGUAGUUCGGAUUGGGGUCUGCAACCCGACCCCAUGAAGCUGGAUUCGCUAGUA
rnacentral:rRNA from 1 species